rnacentral:lncRNA from 1 species
ACGAGCAGAUAUUUAUAACUGCUACCAAAACCAGGAAUAGUUUACUAAAUAUGGGGGUUUGAAGAUAUUGUCUUUAACUGGGAAAAGCUUCCAGGCUACAAGAGAGGAUAAAGACAGUGAGUAACAUUUGAGAUGUACUUUAUUUCAUUACCAAUUCAGCCGUCCAGGAAAGAAGUUUGUGCUUUGCUCUCCAUGUACAACAUCUAGUAAAGGAGACUUAGUCUCAUCGUUCUUCUCUGAGGAGGCAGGAUU